UGGGGAAUAUUGCACAAUGGAGGGAACUCUGAUGCAGCGACGCCGCGUGAGUGAUGAAGGAAUUCGUUUCGUAAAACUCUGUUCUAUGGGAAGAAAAGGACUGUACCAUAGGAGAAAGCUCCGGCUAAAUACGUGCCAGCAGCCGCGGUAAUACGUAGGGCGCGAGCGUUGUCCGGAAUUAUUGGGCGUAAAGGGCUUGUAGGCGGCUUGUUGCGCCUGCUGUGAAAACGCGGGGCUUAACUUCGCGCGUGCAGUGGGUACGGGCAGGCUUGAGUGUGGUAGGGGUGACUGGAAUUCCAGGUGUAGCGGUGGAAUGCGCAGAUAUCUGGAGGAACACCGAUGGCGAAGGCAGGUCACUGGGCCAUUACUGACGCUGAGGAGCGAAAGCAUGGGUAGCGAACAGG
rnacentral:rRNA from 1 species